rnacentral:rRNA from 1 species
AUUGAACGCUGGCGGCAGGCCUAACACAUGCAAGUCGAGCGGGGUUUUCGGACCUAGCGGCGGACGGGUGAGUAAUGCGUAGGAAGCUACCCGAUAGAGGGGGAUACCAGUUGGAAACGACUGUUAAUACCGCAUAAUGUCUACGGACCAAAGUGUGGGACCUUCGGGCCACAUGCUAUCGGAUGCGCCUACGUGGGAUUAGCUAGUUGGUGAGGUAAUGGCUCACCAAGGCGACGAUCCCUAGCUGGUUUGAGAGGAUGAUCAGCCACACUGGAACUGAGACACGGUCCAGACUCCUACGGGAGGCAGCAGUGGGGAAUAUUGGACAAUGGGCGCAAGCCUGAUCCAGCCAUGCCGCGUGUGUGAAGAAGGCCUUCGGGUUGUAAAGCACUUUCAGUAGGGAGGAAGGGUUAAGUGUUAAUAGUACUUAACUUUGACGUUACCUACAGAAGAAGCACCGGCUAACUCUGUGCCAGCAGCCGCCGUAAGAC